CACACACUUUUAUUUGGUCAACCAUGGAGUUAGUAAGAGCAGUGAAGAAUGGAAACGAGACAUAACUGCUGGAGUUUGAUGACAGCUCCAAGUAUUCUUUGGUUUAAGUGAUUGGAAAUUUUUGUUCUGUGGCCUAUGUGGUGCAGAGGUGAGGUAAGCUGGGUAAGAUGGAGGUGGUUGGCAGAUUCUAGCCGUGAGAUUUUCCAAUAAAUGAUAAAGAAAAGUUUGAAGUAAUGAAAAUCUGAGACUCAGAAAUUUUCUUCUUUCUUUACCUACAUCCUUUCUACAAUCAUACUGAGGUUAAAUUUAGAGAUCCAAUUCUCAUUCCUCCUAACUUAUGUUUGUGUUGGUUAAAUAUUGGCUAUUGGGUGCAAUAAAGUACGUCAUGCUAGCCUAAUUAUGUUAAGAUGUCCUAUCUAGAUUGCACUUGAUUUUUCUUCUUUUGUUGGUAGGUAUGCAAUAGUAUGUCAUCUGAAAAGCCAUGCAGCCAUUGAACGUCUUCGUAGAACAAAAAAUAUAGAACCUUCCAAGGCAAGAAAUGUUACUUCUAUUUGAGCGCCAUUGUAAUUUCCUCCUUCAGAAGCUUUGGUGUAACACUGAAUGAGCCACUGUUUGUCAUUUGCCGCAUUUGAUUACCAUGCUUUCCUGUAUUACCAUUUAAUGUGCAUUUUAAUGUUCAUGCUUUUUUAUUACUAGUGUCAUUUAUGCAGCCCCUUAGCAUCUUAUGCCACUCUUUGAGAGAUAUAGACAUAUAUACAACUGGGUUCCCUUGUGGUGAUGGCCAAGGACAUACAAAUAUAUUUCGAGCUGUCAAGCAUUGCCUACCUGGGCCUGUAAGGAUGUUAUUUUAUAUGUUCUACUGCUAAUAGGAGGAAAUCUAAUGUACCCAUUGGAGGCAUUCUAUAGCACACAAGCAUAUGACCAGAACUUUGGCCAGGACUCACCAACCAAUGGCUUUUCACAUUGCACAUGUUGAACCACUUCAGAUUUUAUUUUGCAUGUAACUAUAUUGUAUGUUCUCUUUUGAGUCUAUCCUUAAAAAAAGUUUCCAACUGGAUGAAUUUAAUGGUCAUAUUGAGAAUUUUUUGCAUGUUCAAUUUCUAAAUGAACCUGCCCAUGGGUAUGAUAGGUUCCUCAUGCUAAAUGCUUUUGAGCCAUAACUUUGCAUAUCUUUGGCAGUAUACUUUCAUCUUAAAUGGAAGCAAAGAAUUGCCUAAACAAUGUGUAAGGUAUGGGACUACAAGCGCCAAAUAUGCUCAAAGGAAAAAUGUGGGUGUUCGUAUCCCUGAUGAUGCCAUAUGUCAAGAAAUACUAGAGAAGAUGGAUGCACCUCUUAUAUCUACAAGUGUUAAGUGGCCCAAGGAUAAUGAGUGGAUGGUAGAUCCUGUUGUGAUAGCUGAUAUAUAUGGACCAGAGGGUCUUGAUUUUGUUGUUGAUGGUGGUGUAAGAGUGGCGGAUCCUUCCACUGUUGUUGACAUGACUGUUGUUCCUCCGAGAGUAAUACGACAAGGGAAGGGACCUAAAUUGUACUGGAUGGUAGCAGAAGAUGAUAAUGAAUCUGCAUUGCAUGCUGAAGAUCUCAUCCCUUCCGCCACUUAGGGACAAAACCUUGUGCAGAACCACAUUUCAAGUAAUAUCAGAAUUGGACAGGUUAUCUUCUUAUGCUGAAGUGCUAGUUUUUUAUUCGAGAUUUAGCACCUUCCCUGACAACUUAGUAAAACAUCUAAACAUGUUGUAAAUGUCUAGUGAAGAAAUGGUAAGAUACCCAAAAAUAAUAAAAAAAUAGUCAGAGACUUGUAAUGAGUGAGCUUAUGGUGCAUGUGAACAACCAUCAUUUUAAUCCAAUCAAAUCCUUCCAUGAAAACAAACCAGGAGCUACAUGUCGUCGAAAUAUCAAUGAAUAAUCGCAAACAUUCUUCGCAUAUGCUUCUAUUCCUUCAUCAACCGGUGUGAAGAUUGUCAUUCUGGUUUGAUUCCUAAGCCCAAACAACUGCAAAUCAAUAAUUGUGGCCAUUAUUGAAUAAAUCUGAAGCGAGACCAAAAGGAUCAGCAUAUCAAGCACGGAUGAUCCAUGCUGAGAUUCAUUACUAAGACCAGUAAUUGAAUUAGGGCUGUUGCCGAUGCCAAAUUAAGAGGAAUCUCGAA
rnacentral:misc_RNA from 1 species